AUUUAUAUAGUUUAUAUAAAACAUUACAUUUUCAUUGUAAAAUUAGGAUAGGCCCUUUCCUUAUAAAUA
rnacentral:tRNA from 1 species